CAAUGUGUCUGCAGUGCAAUG
rnacentral:miRNA from 17 species